rnacentral:rRNA from 1 species
AACGAACGCUGGCGGCAGGCUUAACACAUGCAAGUCGAGCGCCUCGCAAGAUGCGCGGCCGACGGGUGAGUACCGCGUGGGAACGUACCCUUAUCUUCGGCCUAGCUCUGGGAAACUGGAAGUAAUACCUAAUGUGCCCUUAGGGGGAAAGAUUUAUCGGAUAAGGAUCGGCCCGCGUUGGAUUAGCUAGUUGGUGGGGUAAAGGCCUACCAAGGCGACGAUCCAUAGCUGGUCUGAGAGGAUGAUCAGCCACAUUGGGACUGAGAAACGGCCCAAAAUCCUACGGGAGGCAGCAGUGGGGAAUAUUGGACAAUGGGCGCAAGGCUGAUGCAGCCAUGCCGGGUGAGUGAUGAAGGACUUAGGGUUGUAAAGCUCUUUCACCGGAGAAGAUAAUGACGGUAUCCUGAGAAGAAGCCCCGGCUAACUUCGUG